AAUCUAAGUUUUAUUCUUUAGACACUGUGUUCUUGACAUUUUGUAAUCCGGAUUUCUCUUAAUCUAUUCAGUAUUCAGCAUUUGCUUUUGAUUUUGUUUACUGUUGUUCAUCCUGUUAUCAACUUGCUAUUACUCUGUUGUUAUCAUGUUUUCAUUCUAUUCAACGUUUAUGUUCUCUGCAAUGAUGUCUGAGUAGUGAAUAGGUUUCUGAGGAUGGGUUAGAGUAGUUUAGAAUUCUCAGUAUGCUAGGUGGUUGAGUUUGAUUGAUAGAUCCCUUCUGGAUUAAUUGUUCUUAAUGCCUAUUGCUUUAUGAUCAACUAGAAUUGGAGCCCAAACAUUUUCGCGCCCAAAAGGUGUUCGAUGAAAUGUCUGAACCACUAAUUCCAGAGAUUUGUGGCCCUGUACCUAGGUAUUGGUUGCAGGGAGCAUUUUGGCUUUAACUUGUUGAUUCGUAAUAACUUUUAGGUUAGCUCUCGUCAAUGGUUAUUGAGUCUGGGACUAGUUUAACUUGAGGGUCUCUCUUGCGGUGGCACUUAGAUUUGGUUUUCGAACUUGUUGUCUAGGGAUAAUUUAUUGAGCAUGUCAAUCACCUGUAAACUGAGGAAACAAAACUACUCAAUUACCCCAUCCUCGGAAAUUUCUCAGCCAAUUGAUUUCUUUGGUUACUCUGUUGUUGUUUACUGUUACUCGACCUGAUACUCGACCACCCAGUUGUCUGGCAACAGACUGUGCAGUCGAGUAUCCCUCUUAUAUUUUUUGUCUGUUACUCGACCUGUCACUCGACAACACCCAGUGCUCUACAACGAGCUGUGUUGGUCGAGUGCUUUUACUAUUCUGCUUGAAUUUCUGUUUUCUGCAUGUUCACUUAGGACUGCUAGAGCACACAAAAAACUGUUAUUGCUUGGCUUGACUUAGUGACUUCUGAUCACAUCUUGAUUGUUAGUAUCACACCUAUUUGGAUUGACAACCUUCAGUACUACAACGACAUGAUAAUGCAUUAGGAUAAUUGAUCUUAAAAACCUAUUAUCAAGUACGCCGAUAUGAAGGGAGCUUCGAUAGAGGAGGGGGAUGCUAAUCAAAAUAUGGAUGAAGUUGAGGAUGUAAAUGCAGAGGAGGAUACAAAUGAAAAGAAGGAUGAAGACGAGAUGUCCAGAUUUGAUUGUUUCGAUGACACUGAUGGAGCGAGUGACGGGGAUGAAGAGUCUAGUGUGUGCACAACGUAUUUGAAGAUCAAAACCAGUGUGGAUUUGAUAAUGGAAAUGGUGACAAUUUGUUUGAACUAUGGGAAAGUUCAUCAGGAUGACAACAAGUUUAUAGUAGAAAAAAUGAGUUUGUGAACCUUGAUUUUGGUUCUGUAGUAGAUUUAGAAGUUGGUCAAAAU
rnacentral:sRNA from 1 species